AUUACUCCCAUGCCUUCUCUCUCUCCAUUAAAGAUGUGACGUCCUCCACUGUCGCCGCCGCCGCCGCCGCUCGCGUCGCACGAGCUCCUUCCACCGCCGCUCUCAAUGCGUUUGCUCCUUUCGUCGUCACACGAGCUCUCUCGGCCGUGCUCUUGUCUUACGAGCUCCCUCCGCCACCGCUCUCGCGCUGUUUCUUCUCUUCUCGCCAGAGGUUUGUCAUCGUCUCUUCUCGUCGCUGUUAGUUCAGGUCCGCUGAAGGUUACACCAUUUAUGGUCGAGUGAAGAUCCCCAGCAAUUUAGGAACAAAAGACUAUAUAAUUCCCGGAAAAGUGUCGAAUGUCAAAGUCAUACUCAAUGGUGGUCAGAAAGUUACUUUUUUGAGGCCUGAUGGAUAUUUCUCAUUGUAUCCUUUAAUUUACAUCUUCAUUUUAAACUCAUUUCAAUUUGCAUGAUAACUGCUAUUGCAAUACUUCAAGUCAUGUUUAAUUUGAUCUCUCUUUGCUGUCCUGAUAUUGCUUUUGCAAAGUUAUAGUUAAUGAUAGUAUUUCGUUGUUGAGCAACAAACUAGUUCCUUAACAUGUUUGCUUUAAGCCACAACGUCCCAAAUAUUUCUUGAUGGAUGCUUCAUGAGGUCUAAAAAUUAUAGCUUCUUUGAUGAGUAUGCAGGGCCAGGGGGACAAGGCUAUUUGUGGAAACAAAACUAGGACGAAUUCGAGUUUUCAAGCGGCCGCAAAGCAGGCGAUUUUGGAAGUAGUUCAAGCUGCACCAAACAGCAUAGGAUGCUAUGCAAGAGGGAAGGGUCCACCACUGGCUGGAAGGUAUGACAUGGGAGCUCUAUGCAUGCAUGA